UGAGAGGAGGGGCUUCUGCUGGCGGGGGCUGAAUUCAGCACCAGGGUAUAAUACAGAACCCACAGUGCUAGAACCGGUUCUUUUACUUCUAUAAAGGGUUCUGCAUGGUUUAGAACCUGUGCACCACUGGCCACAUUAUUGGAAACACCUGCUCGAAUGAACAGUUCAGUAAUCUCUGAUUGUGAUGAGUUUUGACACUGUACGGUUCUGUUGUCUAGAACGUAAAACAUCUGUGUGUGUGUGUGUGUGUGUGCGUGUGUGUGUGUGUGUGUUCUCAGGAUGCUGCGGGUGCUGCUCGGGGUGUGUGUGUGGGGGGUGGUGUGUGUGUGCCAGCAGCCCAACACCAGGAGUGAUAGUGAACACAACCCGGACCAACCGGAUCACAUCACCCUCAAACAGACCUAUGUGUCUGUGGACAUGGGUGGGUCGUCCUCCUCGGUGUUGGGUAGUUGUGGACGGCUGGACGGAUGGAAGGAUGGAGGGAUGAGUUACGGUUCUCUCUCAGACACUCCCUCCAUCAUCACUCUUCCUCCCUCCCUCUCUCCUCCUCCUCUCGCCUCCCCCUUUCCCCCGCCCCGUCCCCCGCGUCCCGUCCCCCUCAGGACCAUCUCAGCUCAGGACCUGCAGAGGAGCUUCCUCUGAGCAUCAGGACGAUUCCGGUUACAGCGCCCGCGUCCUGCUCCCCGAUACAGUACAGUAAUAGAUACGGGUUAGCGGGUUAGCGUAUGCUAGCGCUAGUUCACCGUGCUGAAGAUAUAACAUCUAUAACAAUGUUUCUAUAACAGAUAUUCCUCCACUGUUCUGCAGUUAAUGAUUCUUUCUUAGAUUUCUUACUCUCUCUCACGUUUAGCUCACGCUCGGCUCACGCUCGGCUCACGCUCGGCUCACGUUGGUUACACUAGUGAGUGCAGCGCACCUACUAAGUGGACCCUGGCUGUAUCGACAGUACUCAGACAGUAGAGAGUAACUACAGGUCAAUAAACAUUAGCUUACUCUAAUGUAAGCA
rnacentral:lncRNA from 1 species